rnacentral:rRNA from 1 species
GACGAACGCUGGCGGCGUGCUUAACACAUGCAAGUCGAACGAAGUGGCGAACGGGUGAGUAAUACGUGGGUAACCUGCCCUCCUUUUUGGGAUAAGCCUUGGAAACGGGGUCUAAUACCGAAUAAAGGGGGAUGGGCUCGCGGCCUAUCAGCUUGUUGGUGGGGUGAUGGCCUACUAAGGCGGUGACGGGUAGCCGGCUGGAGAGGGGGACCGGCCCCAUUGGGACUGAGAUACGUCCCAGACUCCUACGGGAGGCAGCAGUUGGAGAUAUUGCACAAUGGGCGAAAGCCUGAGGCAGCGGCGCCGCGUGGGGGUUGAAGGCUUUCGGGUUGUAAACCUGUUUCGAUAUCGAGCGGGUAGGUGGAGAAGAAGCGCCGGCUAACUUCGUGCCAGCCGCCGCGGUAAUAC